GAGUUUGAUCUUGGCUCAGGAUGAACGCUGGCGGCGUGCCUAAUACGUGCAAGUCGAACGAACAGAUAAGGAGCUUGCUCCUUUGACGUUAGCGGCGGACGGGUGAGUAACACGUGGGUAACCUACCUAUAAGACUGGAAUAACUCCGGGAAACCGGGCUAAUGCCGGAUAACAUGUUGAACCGCAUGGUUCUACAGUGAAAGACGGUCUUGCUGUCACUUAUAGAUGGACCCGCGCCGUAUUAGCUAGUUGGUGGGGUAACGCCUACCAAGGCGACGAUACGUAGCCGACCUGAGAGGGUGAUCGGCCACACUGGAACUGAGACACGGUCCAGACUCCUACGGGAGGCAGCAGUAGGGAAUCUUCCGCAAUGGGCGAAAGCCUGACGGAGCAACGCCGCGUGAGUGAUGAAGGUCUUCGGAUCGUAAAGCUCUGUUGUUAGGAAGAACAAAUGUGUAAGUAACUGUGCAUAUCUUGACGGUACCUAACCAGAAAGCCACGGCUAACUACGUGCCAGCCGCCGCCGUAAC
rnacentral:rRNA from 1 species